GAUGGAACGCGCCUUCAGAUUGGGAUUGUUCUACUGACAAGAUCUGCCAGGCAAGCUUGGAAUCUGGAAGUUCACAUUACUUAGCUAUUGUUCAGCAUUAAAUUAUUGCUCUUGACUUGUGAAAGGUGAACUAAGACUUUUCUGACUGCACUUGUUGACGUGGGUAAUUGUGAAGAGUUUCUAUGUUCCAUCUGAAUUUCUUCUUUCACCUUUAAUGAAGAUACUUGAAAAUUGUUUAAUUUGUUUCCUCUUUUUCAUUGAGGGGGUUAAAGUAAUCUAGUUGCUGAUGUAAUGCUUUUUAUAGUGGAAAAAGUAGUGGUGAAGGCAAGAAAUCGGUCUCAACGCAUUUGUUUCAGCUGCAACCUGUAGAUCUUGGGAGACUGCUUUCGGAGGCUGUUGUAAAAUCCUCUUCAUUUGUAUAGUUAAUAAACAUGAUAUGCUGCCCUUGAUUUAAA